GAUGAACGCUGGCGGCGUGCCUAAUACAUGCAAGUCGAGCGAACAGAUAAGGAGCUUGCUCCUUUGACGUUAGCGGCGGACGGGUGAGUAACACGUGGGUAACCUACCUAUAAGACCGGAAUAACUCCGGGAAACCGGGGCUAAUGCCGGAUAACAUUUAGAACCGCAUGGUUCUAAAGUGAAAGAUGGUUUUGCCAUCACUUAUAGAUGGACCCGCGCCGUAUUAGCUAGUUGGUAAGGUAACGGCUUACCAAGGCAACGAUACGUAGCCGACCUGAGAGGGUGAUCGGCCACACUGGAACUGAGACACGGUCCAGACUCCUACGGGAGGCAGCAGUAGGGAAUCUUCCGCAAUGGGCGAAAGCCUGACGGAGCAACGCCGCGUGAGUGAUGAAGGUCUUCGGAUCGUAAAACUCUGUUAUUAGGGAAGAACAAAUGUGUAAGUAACUGUGCACGUCUUGACGGUACCUAAUCAGAAAGCCACGGCUAACUACGUG
rnacentral:rRNA from 1 species